UGGUGAUCGUACAGCACACCCCGAGUGAAGAGUAGAAUUACCCUCCCCAAAUUUCAAGGUAGCAAAUAUGUUCGAUGAUCAGGACCUGGGAUUCUUUGCCAAUUUUCUGGGCAUCUCUAUAUUCUUUCUGGUUAUCGCAUAUCAUUUCGUGAUGGCUGAUCCCAAGUACCAACCCAACUGAUGGUUGUUUUAUGAUAGCACCAGAAAUGUAGGAUCGGAUCCUUUUACGGUGAUCGUGUCUUAAUGUAAUCCAGACAUUUGAGAUAUUGAGUUUGAAUAAGAUCCGAGUAAAAUCUAUGAAUACCAUUAUAUUUAUGCAACUCGUUUUUCUA